rnacentral:misc_RNA from 1 species
GAUGAAGAACGUAGCAAAAUGCGAUACUUGGUGUGAAUUGCAGAAUCCCGUGAACCAUCGAGUUUUUGAACGCAAGUUGCGCCCGAAGCCUUUUGGCCGAGGGCACGUCUGCCUGGGCGUCACACAUCGCGUCGCCCCCCACAACUCUCCGUAAAGGGAACUUGUGUUUUGGGGGCGGAUAUUGGUCUCCCGUGCUCAUGGCGUGGUUGGCCGAAAUAGGAGUCCCUCCGGUGGACGCACGAACUAGUGGUGGUCGUAAAAACCCUCGUCUUUUGUUUCGUGCCGUUAGUCGCGAGGGAAACUCUUUAAAAACCCAAAUGUGUCGUCUCUUGACGGCGCUUCGACCGCGACCCCAGGUCAGGCGGGACAACCCGCUGAGUUUAAGCAUAUCAAUAAGCGGAGGA